rnacentral:piRNA from 2 species
UGACCCCAGAUAGCUUGCAGUCUCUCCAGU